UUCUCUCUACAGCAUCACGCUCUGUCUCAUCUUCUUCCUGGUUUGCUUUUCUAGCUUCUUCUCUUCUAAUCCAACCACAAGAACCAGACUGCUGCUAAACAAAACCAUACCCACAAGAGAAGAAACAGAGUUACAAAUUUCAAUCUAACUCGGCGGCACACCCACAACCUCAAAUCGACGGCGCUUCUUCUCUUCCAAUCAAACUCAGCGGUGCCACCCACAAUCUUCAGGUAAGUAAAGGGGAAAGGAAAUAUAUCAGGCUAUGCCCACGCACAUCCUAGUACUAAUGGAAACAAAUGGUCCAGGGAAGAGAGAUUUAGGAGUAAUGCCAAUGGUUUUUGGUACAUGAACAAGUGGGACCGAGAAGAAGAUUUGUCUUGCUCUGUGGCCUCAUUCCAGAUGAGAACAACCAUAGCUGCAAACAUUUAUUGGCUACACUUUGGAGAGUAUUUGUUACAUCUGUAAAUUAUAGCUCGAGUAAAUAUUGACAAGCAUGGGGAGUGUAAGUAUUUUUUUAGGUGGAGAUAUGAGUGUGUUGCUUUUCAAAAACAUGAAAUAUAUGUCUUGGAGGAAAAAAAGAAACGGUUUAUAUGUGUAAUGGGAUAUAU